CCAAUAGCGUAUAUUAAAGUUGUUGCAGUUAAAAAGCUCGUAGUUGAAUUUCGGGAUCAAUACGUCUGUCGUGCCUUCGGUACGUACGGGUGUAAUUGGUUUCUACCUUCUGAGGAUCCUUGAUGUCAUUAAUUUGGUGUCUUGGGGAAUCAGGACUGUUACCUUGAAAAAAUUAGAGUGUUUAAAGCAGGCAUACGCUUGAAUACAUUAGCAUGGAAUAAUGAAAUAGGACGUUCGAUUCUAUUUUGUUGGUUUCUAGGAUCGAUGUAAUGAUUAAUAGGGAUAGUUGGGGGCAUUAGUAUUCAAUUGUCAGAGGUGAAAUUCUUGGAUUUAUUGAAGACUAACUACUGCGAAAGCAUUUGCCAAGGAUGUUUUCAUUAAUCAAGAACAAAAGUUAGGGGAUCGAAGACGAUCAGAUACCGUCGUAGUCUUAACCAUAAACUAUGCCGACUAGGGAUCGGAUGAUGUUAAUUUUUUAAUGACUCAUUCGGCGCCUUACG
rnacentral:rRNA from 1 species